GACGAACGCUGGCGGCGUGCCUAAUACAUGCAAGUAGAACGCACAGUUUAUACCGUAGCUUGCUACACCAUAGACUGUGAGUUGCGAACGGGUGAGUAACGCGUAGGUAACCUGCCUGGUAGCGGGGGAUAACUAUUGGAAACGAUAGCUAAUACCGCAUAAUAUUAAUUAUUGCAUGAUAAUUAAUUGAAAGGUGCAAUUGCUCCACUACCAGAUGGACCUGCGUUGUAUUAGCUAGUAGGUGAGGUAACGGCUCACCUAGGCGACGAUACAUAGCCGACCUGAGAGGGUGAUCGGCCACACUGGGACUGAGACACGGCCCAGACUCCUACGGGAGGCAGCAGUAGGGAAUCUUCGGCAAUAGACGAAAGUCUGACCGAGCAACGCCGCGUGAGUGAAGAAGGUUUUCGGAUCGUAAAGCUCUGUUGUAAGAGAAGAACGGGUGUGAGAGUGGAAAGUUCACACUGUGACGGUAUCUUACCAGAAAGGGACGGCUAACUACGUG
rnacentral:rRNA from 1 species